rfam:Paenibacillus sp. MAEPY2 contig13, whole genome shotgun sequence.
CGGGAAGUAGCUGAAAUAGAUUAGCGGCGGCGUGAAAUACCGUAGAUGUUGGUGCGUUACCAACCUUUCCGA